GGAUCAUUACUGAGUUUACGCUCUACAACCCUUUGUGAACAUACCUAUAACUGUUGCUUCGGCGGGUAGGGUCUCCGUGACCCUCCCGGCCUCCCGCCCCCGGGCGGGUCGGCGCCCGCCGGAGGAUAACCAAACUCUGAUUUAACGACGUUUCUUCUGAGUGGUACAAGCAAAUAAUCAAAACUUUUAACAACGGAUCUCUUGGUUCUGGCAUCGAUGAAGAACGCAGCGAAAUGCGAUAAGUAAUGUGAAUUGCAGAAUUCAGUGAAUCAUCGAAUCUUUGAACGCACAUUGCGCCCGCCAGCAUUCUGGCGGGCAUGCCUGUUCGAGCGUCAUUUCAACCCUCAAGCUCUGCUUGGUGUUGGGGCCCUACAGCUGAUGUAGGCCCUCAAAGGUAGUGGCGGACCCUCCCGGAGCCUCCUUUGCGUAGUAACUUUACGUCUCGCACUGGGAUCCGGAGGGACUCUUGCCGUAAAACCCCCCAAUUUUCCAAAGGUUGACCUCGGAUCAGGUAGGAAUACCCGCUGAACUUAAGCAUAUCAAUAAGCGGAGGAAAAGAAACCAACAGGGAUUGCCUCAGUAACGGCGAGUGAAGCGGCAACAGCUCAAAUUUGAAAUCUGGCCCUAGGCCCGAGUUGUAAUUUGCAGAGGAUGCUUUUGGUGCGGUGCCUUCCAAGUUCCCUAGAACGGGACGCCAGAGAGGGUGAGAGCCCCGUACAGUUGGACACCAAGCCUUUGUAAAGCUCCUUCGACGAGUCGAGUAGUUUGGGAAUGCUGCUCAAAAUGGGAGGUAUAUUUCUUCUAAAGCUAAAUACCGGCCAGAGACCGAUAGCGCACAAGUAGAGUGAUCGAAAGAUGAAAAGCACUUUGAAAAGAGGGUUAAACAGCACGUGAAAUUGUUAAAAGGGAAGCGCUUGUGACCAGACUUGCGUCCGGUGAAUCACCCAGCUCUCGCGGCUGGGGCACUUCGCCGGCUCAGGCCAGCAUCAGCUCGCUGUCGGGGACAAAAGCUUCAGGAACGUAGCUCUCUUCGGGGAGUGUUAUAGCCUGUUGCAUAAUACCCUUCGGCGGGCUGAGGUACGCG
rnacentral:rRNA from 1 species